GACGAACGCUGGCGGCGUGCUUAACACAUGCAAGUCGAACGGAAAGGCCCUGCUUUUGUGGGGUGCUCGAGUGGCGAACGGGUGAGUAACACGUGAGUAACCUGCCCUUGACUUUGGGAUAACUUCAGGAAACUGGGGCUAAUACCGGAUAGGAGCUCCUGCUGCAUGGUGGGGGUUGGAAAGUUUCGGCGGUUGGGGAUGGACUCGCGGCUUUUCAGCUUGUUGGUGGGGUAGUGGCUUACCAAGGCUUUGACGGGUAGCCGGCCUGAGAGGGUGACCGGCCACAUUGGGACUGCGAUACGGCCCAGAAUCCAACGGGAGGCAGCAGUGGGGAAUAUUGCACAAUGGGCGGAAGCCUGAUGCAGCAACGCCGCGUGCGGGAUGACGGCCUUCGGGUUGUAAACCGCUUUCGCCUGUGACGAAGCGUGAGUGACGGUAAUGGGUAAAGAAGCACCGGCUAACUACGUG
rnacentral:rRNA from 1 species